UCCAGCGUGGCGUAGUGUUUUGAGCAUUGGGCUACAACUCUGGAGGGCAGGGUUCGAUUCCCAGCUCUGCCA